AGACUCUAGGAACUAUCCGAGCUCCACUCCCCACAACAUACUCAAAGGAACGGAGAGAACCGGGACCCCCCUGCGGGGACCCGGAACUGGAUGGAAGAAAACAUACUCUAUGUGGAUGAGAUUGAGUGGACCUUGACCCAUAAGUUGGGACAUGAAGAGAGCGUUUGAAAACUACCAACCUGGGCCGGGUGCAGUGGCUCACGCCUGUAAUCCCAGCACUUUGGGUGGCCGAGGCGGGCGGAUCACGAGGUCAGGAGAUCGCGACCAUCCUGGCUAACACGGCGAAACCCCGUCUCUACUAAAAAUACAAAAAAAAAACAAAAAAGAA
rnacentral:lncRNA from 1 species